rnacentral:rRNA from 1 species
UACGUAGGUGGCAAGCGUUGUCCGGAAUUAUUGGGCGUAAAGCGCGCGCAGGUGGUGCGGUAAGUCUGCCGUGAAAUCUCCCGGCUCAACUGGGAGGGGGCGGUGGAGACUGCCGGACUAGAGGGACUCAGAGGCCGGUGGAAUUCCCGGUGUAGUGGUGAAAUGCGUAGAGAUCGGGAGGAACACCAGUGGCGAAGGCGGCCGGCUGGGGGUGCACUGACGCUGAGGCGCGAAAGCGUGGGGAGCGAACCGG